CAGCAGCCGCGGUAAUACGUAGGUCCCGAGCGUUGUCCGGAUUUAUUGGGCGUAAAGCGAGCGCAGGCGGUUAGAUAAGUCUGAAGUUAAAGGCUGUGGCUUAACCAUAGUACGCUUUGGAAACUGUUUAACUUGAGUGCAAGAGGGGAGAGUGGAAUUCCAUGUGUAGCGGUGAAAUGCGUAGAUAUAUAGAGGAACACCGGUGGCGAAAGCGGCUCUCUGGCUUGUAACUGACGCUGAGGCUCGAAAGCGUGGGGAGCAAACAGGAUUAGAUACCCCAGUAGUCCCUGUCUCUUAUACA
rnacentral:rRNA from 1 species